UAAUAAUGUGGCCGAUGUAGUUUUUGUAUAUAUUUGUUUUAAUUUCAUUUUAGGUUUUUACGUAUAUUUAUCAUAUAUAACUAGUUGUCCGUUUCAGUCAGCUAUAACAAAGUGUAUCUGACCUGUCUUACCUACUAACUGCCCCAUGGCCAGAAGCUUCAUUUGCUGAUUGGCCAAGCUAACACCUAUUGUUAAACUGCAUGCUUUGAUUACACUGCAUACUCUCUCAGCACAUAAACUGACAGAACUGCUCAGACCAGCAAAGUGUAAAGAGAGAAUAUUAAAUCAGGUGAGUUAAAUAGUUAUAAUCUAUAUCUUGUGUUGUAUUUAAAUAAUACAGUAUGUUCAAAGUGUUAUAUGAAGUAAACUAAAUGUAUGUAAUCUAACAUAAAUGUUGAUUUAUGUCUAAAUAUUUAAAUCUGCAUAGGAUAAGCUAAACAUCCAUACUUUAUCACUAAAAUGUAUUCUAUCACUUCAAUGAAAUAUGUGUGAAAGUGUUUUACCUCAAGAGUGUUUUAAUAAGCUUUGUAAUGUAGAGAUUCAGAUGUGAUACAAUGCAAAUCAUUGUAAAGAAAAUGUGUGUAUUACUUUGUUCAAUAUAUUAAAUGUUAAAUAGUGUUUUAGUCUAUGUAUUGUUUAUUCAGAUAAUCUAUGGUGUUGCUAUAUAGGCAGUUGGGAUCCACACCCUUGUAUCACCCACAGGGGUGUAUGAUAUAUAGAUCCUUAUCACACUCGACGCAUCGCAAUAAAGACCUCAACCCCGUA
rnacentral:lncRNA from 1 species